UACGUAGGGUGCAAGCGUUACUCGGAAUCACUGGGCGUAAAGGGUGCGUAGGCGGCUUGUUAAGUUGGAUGUGAAAGCCCUCGGCUCAACCGAGGAACUGCGUCCAAAACUGGCGAGCUAGAGGAUGGUAGGGGACAGUGGAACUCCAGGUGGAGCGGUGAAAUGCGUAGAGAUCUGGAGGAACGCCGGUGGCGAAGGCGAUUGUCUGGGCCAUUCCUGACGCUGAGGCACGAAAGCCAGGGGAGCAAACGGGAUUAGAUACCCCGGUAGU
rnacentral:rRNA from 1 species